GGUGUGGCAUGACUGGCUUAAGUUGUUUAUGUGCAGCUAGUUGUAUUGAGGUCAACUUUCGCUUUUGAGGAUGUUUGUGUGCUAAAUUUAUUUUUUGUUCAUAAUGGCAAAUAUUCAGUCUCUUAAAAUUCCAUAAUGCAAAAAUCAUUGCUGUUUUCCACCCAUUCCCUUUAUGUUCCUGAGAAAGCCAAAACACGGUGCCAUAGAAAAUAAAGCAUGUUGCCUCAACUACAGUAAUUUGCUGACAUUUCGAGUGGAUUGAAAAUUGCAAAGGAACUGUUUCUGAAUGAUUUAUGUCUUAGUCUGAGGGAUGCAGCCUGUGAAGAAUGGAGUUAUAACUGCGUUAGUUUUCCUACAAGUAUUUAGUAAUGUCACAUAAAUCUUCAUUGCUGCAUAAUACUGCGACAGUCAACUGAUGACAUACACGCAGAUAUAAGAAUAUAUUUUGGAAAAACUCAAAAAUUAUUAAACAUGUAGCUGUUUAUCAAAUAAUCUGUUUAUAUUCAAGUGUAUGUUUCAAUGGUAAAUAUCAUUUAUUGUAUAAAAUUAAAAUAAAU